GGUUAAGCGACUAAGCGUACACGGUGGAUGCCCUGGCAGUCAGAGGCGAUGAAGGACGUGCUAAUCUGCGAUAAGCGUCGGUAAGGUGAUAUGAACCGUUAUAACCGGCGAUUUCCGAAUGGGGAAACCCAGUGUGAUUCGUCACACUAUCAUUAACUGAAUCCAUAGGUUAAUGAGGCGAACCGGGGGAACUGAAACAUCUAAGUACCCCGAGGAAAAGAAAUCAACCGAGAUUCCCCCAGUAGCGGCGAGCGAACGGGGAGCAGCCCAGAGCCUGAAUCAGUGUGUGUGUUAGUGGAAGCGUCUGGAAAGGCGCGCGAUACAGGGUGACAGCCCCGUACACAAAAAUGCACAUACUGUGAGCUCGAUGAGUAGGGCGGGACACGUGGUAUCCUGUCUGAAUAUGGGGGGACCAUCCUCCAAGGCUAAAUACUCCUGACUGACCGAUAGUGAACCAGUACCGUGAGGGAAAGGCGAAAAGAACCCCGGCGAGGGGAGUGAAAAAGAACCUGAAACCGUGUACGUACAAGCAGUGGGAGCACGCUUAGGCGUGUGACUGCGUACCUUUUGUAUAAUGGGUCAGCGACUUAUAUUCUGUAGCAAGGUUAACCGAAUAGGGGAGCCGAAGGGAAACCGAGUCUUAACUGGGCGUUAAGUUGCAGGGUAUAGACCCGAAACCCGGUGAUCUAGCCAUGGGCAGGUUGAAGGUUGGGUAACACUAACUGGAGGACCGAACCGACUAAUGUUGAAAAAUUAGCGGAUGACUUGUGGCUGGGGGUGAAAGGCCAAUCAAACCGGGAGAUAGCUGGUUCUCCCCGAAAGCUAUUUAGGUAGCGCCUCGUGAAUUCAUCUCCGGGGGUAGAGCACUGUUUCGGCAAGGGGGUCAUCCCGACUUACCAACCCGAUGCAAACUGCGAAUACCGGAGAAUGUUAUCACGGGAGACACACGGCGGGUGCUAACGUCCGUCGUGAAGAGGGAAACAACCCAGACCGCCAGCUAAGGUCCCAAAGUCAUGGUUAAGUGGGAAACGAUGUGGGAAGGCCCAGACAGCCAGGAUGUUGGCUUAGAAGCAGCCAUCAUUUAAAGAAAGCGUAAUAGCUCACUGGUCGAGUCGGCCUGCGCGGAAGAUGUAACGGGGCUAAACCAUGCACCGAAGCUGCGGCAGCGACGCUGAUGCGUUGUUGGGUAGGGGAGCGUUCUGUAAGCCUGUGAAGGUGUGCUGUGAGGCAUGCUGGAGGUAUCAGAAGUGCGAAUGCUGACAUAAGUAACGAUAAAGCGGGUGAAAAGCCCGCUCGCCGGAAGACCAAGGGUUCCUGUCCAACGUUAAUCGGGGCAGGGUGAGUCGACCCCUAAGGCGAGGCCGAAAGGCGUAGUCGAUGGGAAACAGGUUAAUAUUCCUGUACUUGGUGUUACUGCGAAGGGGGGACGGAGAAGGCUAUGUUGGCCGGGCGACGGUUGUCCCGGUUUAAGCGUGUAGGCUGGUUUUCCAGGCAAAUCCGGAAAAUCAAGGCUGAGGCGUGAUGACGAGGCACUACGGUGCUGAAGCAACAAAUGCCCUGCUUCCAGGAAAAGCCUCUAAGCAUCAGGUAACAUCAAAUCGUACCCCAAACCGACACAGGUGGUCAGGUAGAGAAUACCAAGGCGCUUGAGAGAACUCGGGUGAAGGAACUAGGCAAAAUGGUGCCGUAACUUCGGGAGAAGGCACGCUGAUAUGUAGGUGAAGCGACUUGCUCGUGGAGCUGAAAUCAGUCGAAGAUACCAGCUGGCUGCAACUGUUUAUUAAAAACACAGCACUGUGCAAACACGAAAGUGGACGUAUACGGUGUGACGCCUGCCCGGUGCCGGAAGGUUAAUUGAUGGGGUCAGCGCAAGCGAAGCUCUUGAUCGAAGCCCCGGUAAACGGCGGCCGUAACUAUAACGGUCCUAAGGUAGCGAAAUUCCUUGUCGGGUAAGUUCCGACCUGCACGAAUGGCGUAAUGAUGGCCAGGCUGUCUCCACCCGAGACUCAGUGAAAUUGAACUCGCUGUGAAGAUGCAGUGUACCCGCGGCAAGACGGAAAGACCCCGUGAACCUUUACUAUAGCUUGACACUGAACAUUGAGCCUUGAUGUGUAGGAUAGGUGGGAGGCUUUGAAGUGUGGACGCCAGUCUGCAUGGAGCCGGCCUUGAAAUACCACCCUUUAAUGUUUGAUGUUCUAACGUUGACCCGUGAUCCGGGUUGCGGACAGUGUCUGGUGGGUAGUUUGACUGGGGCGGUCUCCUCCUAAAGAGUAACGGAGGAGCACGAAGGUUGGCUAAUCCUGGUCGGACAUCAGGAGGUUAGUGCAAUGGCAUAAGCCAGCUUGACUGCGAGCGUGACGGCGCGAGCAGGUGCGAAAGCAGGUCAUAGUGAUCCGGUGGUUCUGAAUGGAAGGGCCAUCGCUCAACGGAUAAAAGGUACUCCGGGGAUAACAGGCUGAUACCGCCCAAGAGUUCAUAUCGACGGCGGUGUUUGGCACCUCGAUGUCGGCUCAUCACAUCCUGGGGCUGAAGUAGGUCCCAAGGGUAUGGCUGUUCGCCAUUUAAAGUGGUACGCGAGCUGGGUUUAGAACGUCGUGAGACAGUUCGGUCCCUAUCUGCCGUGGGCGCUGGAGAACUGAGGGGGGCUGCUCCUAGUACGAGAGGACCGGAGUGGACGCAUCACUGGUGUUCGGGUUGUCAUGCCAAUGGCACUGCCCGGUAGCUAAAUGCGGAAGAGAUAAGUGCUGAAAGCAUCUAAGCACGAAACUUGCCCCGAGAUGAGUUCUCCCUGACUCCUUGAGAGUCCUGAAGGAACGUUGAAGACGACGACGUUGAUAGGCCGGGUGUGUAAGCGCAGCGAUGCGUUGAGCUAACCGGUACUAAUGAACCGUGAGGCUUAACCUU
rnacentral:rRNA from 1 species